rnacentral:rRNA from 1 species
UUUCCGUAGGGGGUGACCUGCGGAAGGAUCAUUAUUG